rnacentral:rRNA from 1 species
GACAGAGGUGCCGAGCGUUAGGCGGAAUCACUGGGCUUAAAGCGUGUGUAGGCGGAUCGUUAAGUGCCUUGUGAAAUCCCACGGCUCAACCGUGGAACUGCUUGGCAUACUGGCGAUCUUGAGCCACUUAGGGGCUACCGGAACAAAUGGUGGAGCGGUGAAAAUGCGUAGAUAUCAUUUGGAACGCCAAUGGUGAAAACAGGUAGCUGGGAGUGUGCUGACGCUGAGACACGAAAGCCAGGGGAGCAAACGGG